rnacentral:rRNA from 1 species
UACGGAGGGGGCUAGCGUUGUUCGGAAUUACUGGGCGUAAAGCGCACGUAGGCGGCUUUGUAAGUUAGAGGUGAAAGCCUGGAGCUCAACUCCAGAAUUGCCUUUAAGACUGCAUCGCUUGAAUCCGGGAGAGGUGAGUGGAAUUCCGAGUGUAGAGGUGAAAUUCGUAGAUAUUCGGAAGAACACCAGUGGCGAAGGCGGCUCUCUGGACUGGUACUGACGCUGAGGUGCGAAAGCUUGGGGAGCAAACAGG